UUUGGGCUCGGUUGGGGCACAUCCCGGAUGUCAAAUCCCGGCUAUAUUGGACUUGCACGUGCACGGUGGAUAAUUCACAAGUUGCUAGGCUAACAGGUCGUAUGACUUGCGCUUUCUCUGCGAGCAGUUAUCGCAGUGGGCGAGCUGCAGUGGUUAUAGAAAAGAGAGCUCCAAUACGGGGAAUGGUGGUUGCUACACGCCGUGUUCUUUGCAGAAAUCGACUUUCUCGAGAAACUGUUUGCUCCAGAAAAGUUUUUUACGUGAUGCGGUGAUCAUCAUACAAAACGGCAAAGCCCAAAUGGCGUAACAAUAACAAAUUGCUGAUCUACAAGCAGUUUGUAAAGAUGGGUCAGAUUGUUCUUAGUAGAUGGUGAAACAUUAGACGAUGAAAUGAGCUCCAGAGACAGAAAGGAGUGUCAUGACAUAACUCCUCUUGAUGCAAUUUCAAGUGUGUUAAAGCCUACAUGAUUCAUUCUGCAAAAGGGAGGUAGGCAUCAACAGACGUGACUGUGCUGCAUUUGACUUCCCAAAUGUCAAUACAGAAAGAGGAAUGAUCGUCAACGUUCCUGUAACUACGCAGUUCAGUUUUCCACACACAAGCACGAUGAUGCCUAGUGAGUCAGCUUGUAGAAACCUAUCUAGCCAACUUUGGGCACUACUGAGUCAUCACCAGACAAAUCAAGACAACACCUACGCUGCAGGCUUCCUUUCUGGAAUUUACGACAAUCACAGGAUUCAUGAGUUUGCAGCAAUGCGUGAAGCCAAAGAAAUUGCAUUUCAGGCACUGACUAUUUGUCAUAGAAGCUGGGAUAGUGUUAUACCAGUUUAAUUUAUUGUUUACCAAGUUUUAAAAAUACGUAUAGUCUGCUACUCUUAGAACAUUGCAUCGGUUUCUGUACGGUUGGUGUCAAAACCUGAUACUCUUAGAGUAUAUGUCAUCAUCUAAAUGAUAGCUGUACAACAAAAACUUCAACAGAUACUCCUAGGCAUUGUCUGUAAAUUA